UCUUAAUAUUAAACUAUUUUUAGUUAAUUAAUUAAUUGUAAAUAUAAAUAAUAAAAUAUUAAAUAUUAUGUUGGGGUGACAAGAAUAUAAAAAAUAACUGUUCUAAAUUUAAAACAAAAUUAUUUGAAAAAAAGAUCCUUUAUAAAGAUUAAAAGUUCAAGUU
rnacentral:rRNA from 1 species